rnacentral:rRNA from 1 species
GGUACAAAACUCAACCGCGUCAAGCAACUCAAUAAAAAGCAAAAACUUUGCGGAACAUGAGAUUUUACCUUCGGUUGGGGCGACCACGGAGGAAAACAAAGCCUCCAAGUGGAUUGGGAAAACCUCCUAAAACCAAGAGAGACAUCUCUAAGCCACAGAACAUCUGACCAAACAUGAUCCGGCUGCCCGAAGCCGAUCAACGAACCAAGUUACCCUAGGGAUAACAGCGCAAUCCUCUCCCAGAGUCCAUAUCGACGAGAGGGUUUACGACCUCGAUGUUGGAUCAGGACAUCCUAAUGGUGCAGCCGCU